UUUGGUUGCCUCUGGUCCAUCCUUGCACAUUUUCUUGGUGAAAAUUUUCAUUGUUUCAGGACACAUUUCCCACAUUAGAAGGUGACACAUUUGAUCAGGUUCCAUAACUCCUACUGCAUCCAUGGUGUACAGGUGCCUGUAAAAUGAGAAUAAAAUUUGAAAUACAAGUUAGAUGGUUUAACAAA